UCCCAUAUGCAAUAAAAAUACCUAAGAGAUGCUUGGUUCGCAAUUGAAAUUAGAAUCGGAAUGAGAAUCGAAAUCAAAAUGAUCAAAUCUCUCCAAACAUUUGAUUCAUGAUCGAAAUCGGUAUGGACAUUUGAAUCCAUAGAAAAAAAUAGGAAUGAAAUUCUAGAUAGAUUGAACUUUUCUGUGUCCGAACCCUCAUUCUUUCCGAUCAAGCAUCUCUUUAAAUCAGUUCC
rnacentral:lncRNA from 1 species